rnacentral:rRNA from 1 species
UACGAAGGGGGCUAGCGUUGUUCGGAAUUACUGGGCGUAAAGGGCGCGUAGGCGGUACUUCAAGUCAGGCGUGAAAGCCCCGGGCUCAACCUGGGAACCGCGCUUGAGACUGGAAAACUAGAGUUCGGGAGAGGAUGGUGGAAUUCCCAGUGUAGAGGUGAAAUGCGUAGAUAUGUGGAGGAAUACCGAUGGCGAAGGCAGCCUCCUGGGCCAACACUGACGCUCAUGCACGAAAGCGUGGGGAGCAAACAGG